rnacentral:lncRNA from 1 species
UUUAAAAUAAUAAUUAUUUUAAUAUUAUUUUAAAAAUUUUGAUUAUUUUUUAUAAAAAAAAUCAUACAAAAGUACCACUAAAAUUAAAGAAAAUAUUUUAUCAUACAUCUUUAAGAUCGACGAUUUUCUUCGUGAAUUUUAUAGUAAAGAAGAUAAAUCAAAUGAAGAGUAGACAAAUUUAGAGAUUGGGGAAAAUUUAAAAAAAA